UACGAAGGGGGCAAGCGUUGUUCGGAAUUACUGGGCGUAAAGGGCGCGUAGGCGGCCGAUCAAGUCAGGCGUGAAAUUCCCGGGCUCAACCUGGGGGCUGCGCUUGAUACUGAUUGGCUUGAAUGCGGGAGAGGAUAGUGGAAUUCCCAGUGUAGAGGUGAAAUUCGUAGAUAUUAGGAAGAACACCGGUGGCGAAGGCGGCCCACUGGAUCGGUACUGACGCUGAGGUGCGAAAGCGUGGGGAGCAAACAGG
rnacentral:rRNA from 1 species